rnacentral:rRNA from 1 species
AGAGCGAACGCUGGCGGCAGGCCUAACACAUGCAAGUCGAGCGCCCGUAGCAAUACGGGAGCGGCAGACGGGAUAGUAACACGUGGGAACGCGCCCUUCGGUUCGGAAUAACUCAGGGAAACUUGAGCUAAUACCGGAUACGCCCUUACGGGGAAAGAUUUAUUGCCGAAGGAACGGCCCGCGUCCGAUUAGCUAGUUGGUGAGGUAAUGGCUCACCAAGGCUCCGAUCGGUAGCUGGUCUGAGAGGAUGACCAGCAUCACUGGUACUGAGACACGGCCCAGACUCCUACGGGAGGCAGCAGUGGGGAAUAUUGGACAAUGGGCGCAAGCCUGAUCCAGCCAUGCCGCGUGGAUGAUGAAGGCCUUAGGGUUGUAAAGUCCUUUUAACGGGGAAGAUAAUGACGGUACCCGUAGAAUAAGCCCCGGCUAACUUCGUGCCAGCAGCCGC